rnacentral:rRNA from 1 species
AUUGAACGCUGGCGGCAUGCUUUACACAUGCAAGUCGAACGGCAGCGCGGGCUUCGGCCUGGCGGCGAGUGGCGAGCGGGUGAGCAAUGCAUCGGAACGUGCCCAGUAGUGGGGGAUAGCCCGGCGAAAGCCGGAUUAAUACCGCAUACGACCUGAGGGUGAAAGCGGGGGACCGAAAGGCCUCGCGCUAUUGGAGCGGCCGAUGUCGGAUUAGCUAGUUGGUGGGGUAAAGGCUUACCAAGGCGACGAUCCGUAGCUGGUCUGAGAGGACGACCAGCCACACUGGGACUGAGACACGGCCCAGACUCCUACGGGAGGCAGCAGUGGGGAAUUUUGGACAAUGGGGGCAACCCUGAUCCAGCCAUGCCGCGUGCGGGAAGAAGGCCUUCGGGUUGUAAACCGCUUUUGUUCGGGAAGAAAUCCUCUGGGCUAAUACCCCGGGGGGAUGACGGUACCGGAAGAAUAAGCACCGGCUAACUACGUG